rnacentral:rRNA from 1 species
GAUGAACGCUGGCGGCGUGCCUAACACAUGCAAGUCGAGCGAAAAGACGCGGCGCUUGCGCCUUUCACGUUAGCGGCGCACGUGUGUGAAACGUGUGUAUAACCUACCUGUAAGUCUGGGAUCACUUCGGGACACCGGCUCUUAUACCGGAGGAUAUAUUGAUGCGCAUGGGUCAAUAGUGAAAGUCGGCUGUGCUGUCAGUUAUAGAUGGAUCUGGGCCGCAUUAGCUAGUUGGUAAGGUAACGGCUUACCAAGGCUACGAUGCGUAGCCGACCUGAGAGGGGGGUAGGCCACAUGAGAGGGUAGACACGGUCAUGGCUCCUGCGGGAGGCAGCAGUAGCGAAUGGUACGCAGCGGGCGAGAGCUUGACGGAACAGGGGCGCGUGAGUGGUGACGGCGUCCCGAGCGUAAAACUCUGUUAUUAGGGGAGAACAAAUGUCGACGUAGCUGAGGACGUCUUGACGGUACCGGGUCAGAAAGCACCGGCUAACUACGUG